rnacentral:rRNA from 1 species
GACGAACGCUGGCGGCGUGCUUAACACAUGCAAGUCGAACGGAAAGGCCCUGCUUUUGUGGGGUGCUCGAGUGGCGAACGGGUGAGUAACACGUGAGUAACCUGCCCUUGACUUUGGGAUAACUUCAGGAAACUGGGGCUAAUACCGGAUAGGAGCUCCUGCUGCAUGGUGGGGGUUGGAAAGUUUCGGCGGUUGGGGAUGGACUCGCGGCUUAUCAGCUUGUUGGUGGGGUAGUGGCUUACCAAGGCUUUGACGGGUAGCCGGCCUGAGAGGGUGACCGGCCACAUUGGGACUGAGAUACGGCAGAGACUCAUACGGGAGGAAGGAGGGGGGAAUAUUGCACAAUGGGCGGAAGCGUGAUGAAGCAACGCCGCGUGCGGGAUGACGGCCUUCGGGUUGUAAACCGCUUUCGCCUGUGACGAAGCGUGAGUGACGGGAAUGGGUAAAGAAGCACCGGCUAACUACG